rnacentral:rRNA from 1 species
GAUGAACGCUAGCUACAGGCUUAACACAUGCAAGUCGAGGGGAAGCGAUAGGGAAAGCUUGCUUUUUCUAGGCGUCGACCGGCGCACGGGUGAGUAACGCGUAUCCAACCUGCCCAUCACUUGGGGAUAACCUUGCGAAAGUAAGACUAAUACCCAAUGACGUCUCUAGAAGACAUCUGAAGGAGAUUAAAGAUUUAUCGGUGAUGGAUGGGGAUGCGUCUGAUUAGCUUGUUGGCGGGGUAACGGCCCACCGAGGCGACGAUCAGUAGGGGUUCUGAGAGGAAGGUCCCCCACAUUGGAACUGAGACACGGUCCAAACUCCUACGGGAGGCAGCAGUGAGGAAUAUUGGUCAAUGGACGAGAGUCUGAACCAGCCAAGUAGCGCGCAGGAAGACGGCCCUAUGGGUUGUAAACUGCUUUUAUAAGGGAAUAAAGUGAGUCUCGUGAGACUUUUUGCAUGUACCUUAUGAAUAAGGACCGGCUAAUUCCGUGCCAGCCGCCGCGGUAA